CAAGUACGUACGUAUAUCCAUACAUACAAACAAGAAAUAAUCGCAUGCAUUGGAAGAGUCAUUCGAGCAUACAAACAGCAGGUAACCUGUAGCCAUACCUCAUUGUCACUAUCUCAGUGGACCAACCGUGAAGUCAUUUUACCAAGCAAUCAUGAAGUCUCGCAGUCUGUGAAGUCUUGCAGUUAUAGGCUCAUCGCAGUGGGCGUUUGCAACGGUUUUGAAAAAAUGAUUAUCAAAGAGUUCAUACAGAGUUUGUGAUUGAUUUGGUUUGUCCGGAUGCAGUAUUCAUAACGGGUGGUCGGCGAAAACACUUAUAAACGCGACAAUACAAAUGCAGUUGUCACUCAACUAUACCUGACGGCCAAAUAACACAUUUUUAUCCGGCACUUUUUAUCUAGUUUCAUAAUGAAAGGUUGUUGCGGGCUCUUAUUGUCAGCUUUAGUGAUUAUUUUCCUUUCAUUUCAACAAGUACCCCAGAAUAGUCAAGCCUUUAUUCUUAGUUUCCCCGCUCCGAAGACACCCAAGCCACGACUGUCAAAUUCCGCUUCGACGCUGGAUUUAUUUACACGAUUUGCAGACACUGGAACAAGAAAAGAUGCCUGUCAAGAGAAAACGUGGCUGCUGCAGAAGAAACAUCGAGAGGGAAAUCUGAACAACUUUGGCUGCAAAACGGACUGAGCCGGAAUUCGAAAACUGAGUGGUAAUCGGUGCCGAUGACUAUAAUUUGCCUUAAAAACUUCCCUUAUACUUGUUGCCAGAAGAAAAGGGUGUGACAAUUCUUUUACAAUUCAAAAUAGUUAUUUUACCACUUUUAAACAUAUUGCUAAUUUUUUAUGUUAACUACAUUGUAAACGGUUAAAACUACAAAAAAAAAUAAAGAAAGAAAGUGAACUUUA